rnacentral:rRNA from 1 species
UACGUAGGUGGCAAGCGUUAUCCGGAAUUAUUGGGCGUAAAGCGCGCGCAGGUGGUUUCUUAAGUCUGAUGUGAAAGCCCACGGCUCAACCGUGGAGGGUCAUUGGAAACUGGGAGACUUGAGUGCAGAAGAGGAAAGUGGAAUUCCAUGUGUAGCGGUGAAAUGCGUAGAUAUCAGGAAGAACACCCGCGGCGAAGGCGGCUCUCUGGGACGGUACUGACGCUGAGACGCGAAAGCGUGGGGAGCGAACAGG